rnacentral:tRNA from 2 species
GCCUCUUUAGCUCAGUGGUAGAGCGUAUCACUCGUAAGUAAUCUCAUUACUGAAAUGAUAAUGUCGUCGGAUCAAUCCCGACAGGAGGCA